rnacentral:rRNA from 3 species
AAAUUGAAGAGUUUGAUCAUGGCUCAGAUUGAACGCUGGCGGCAGGCCUAACACAUGCAAGUCGAACGGUAACAGGAAGCAGCUUGCUGCUUCGCUGACGAGUGGCGGACGGGUGAGUAAUGUCUGGGAAACUGCCUGAUGGAGGGGGAUAACUACUGGAAACGGUGGCUAAUACCGCAUAACGUCGCAAGACCAAAGAGGGGGACCUUCGGGCCUCUUGCCAUCAGAUGUGCCCAGAUGGGAUUAGCUUGUUGGUGAGGUAAUGGCUCACCAAGGCGACGAUCCCUAGCUGGUCUGAGAGGAUGACCAGCCACACUGGAACUGAGACACGGUCCAGACUCCUACGGGAGGCAGCAGUGGGGAAUAUUGCACAAUGGGCGCAAGCCUGAUGCAGCCAUGCCGCGUGUAUGAAGAAGGCCUUCGGGUUGUAAAGUACUUUCAGCGGGGAGGAAGGUGUUGCGGUUAAUAACC